GAUUAAGUUAUUAAGGGCGCACGGUGGAUGCCUUGGCACUAGAAGCCGAUGAAGGACGUUACUAACGACGAUAUGCUUUGGGGAGCUGUAAGUAAGCUUUGAUCCAGAGAUUUCCGAAUGGGGAAACCCAGCAUGAGUUAUGUCAUGUUAUCGAUAUGUGAAUACAUAGCAUAUCAGAAGGCACACCCGGAGAACUGAAACAUCUUAGUACCCGGAGGAAGAGAAAGAAAAUUCGAUUCCCUUAGUAGCGGCGAGCGAAACGGGAAGAGCCCAAACCAACAAGCUUGCUUGUUGGGGUUGUAGGACACUCUAUACGGAGUUACAAAGGACGACAUUAGACGAAUCAUCUGGAAAGAUGAAUCAAAGAAGGUAAUAAUCCUGUAGUCGAAAAUGUUGUCUCUCUUGAGUGGAUCCUGAGUACGACGGAGCACGUGAAAUUCCGUCGGAAUCUGGGAGGACCAUCUCCUAAGGCUAAAUACUCUCUAGUGACCGAUAGUGAACCAGUACCGUGAGGGAAAGGUGAAAAGCACCCCGGAAGGGGAGUGAAAUAGAACCUGAAACCGUGUGCUUACAAGUAGUCAGAGCCCGUUAAUGGGUGAUGGCGUGCCUUUUGUAGAAUGAACCGGCGAGUUACGAUUUGAUGCAAGGUUAAGCAGUAAAUGUGGAGCCGUAGCGAAAGCGAGUCUGAAUAGGGCGUUUAGUAUUUGGUCGUAGACCCGAAACCAGGUGAUCUACCCUUGGUCAGGUUGAAGUUCAGGUAACACUGAAUGGAGGACCGAACCGACUUACGUUGAAAAGUGAGCGGAUGAACUGAGGGUAGCGGAGAAAUUCCAAUCGAACCUGGAGAUAGCUGGUUCUCUCCGAAAUAGCUUUAGGGCUAGCCUCAAGUGAUGAUUAUUGGAGGUAGAGCACUGUUUGGACGAGGGGCCCCUCUCGGGUUACCGAAUUCAGACAAACUCCGAAUGCCAAUUAAUUUAACUUGGGAGUCAGAACAUGGGUGAUAAGGUCCGUGUUCGAAAGGGAAACAGCCCAGACCACCAGCUAAGGUCCCAAAAUAUAUGUUAAGUGGAAAAGGAUGUGGCGUUGCCCAGACAACUAGGAUGUUGGCUUAGAAGCAGCCAUCAUUUAAAGAGUGCGUAAUAGCUCACUAGUCGAGUGACACUGCGCCGAAAAUGUACCGGGGCUAAACAUAUUACCGAAGCUGUGGAUUGUCCUUUGGACAAUGGUAGGAGAGCGUUCUAAGGGCGUUGAAGCAUGAUCGUAAGGACAUGUGGAGCGCUUAGAAGUGAGAAUGCCGGUGUGAGUAGCGAAAGACGGGUGAGAAUCCCGUCCACCGAUUGACUAAGGUUUCCAGAGGAAGGCUCGUCCGCUCUGGGUUAGUCGGGUCCUAAGCUGAGGCCGACAGGCGUAGGCGAUGGAUAACAGGUUGAUAUUCCUGUACCACCUAUAAUCGUUUUAAUCGAUGGGGGGACGCAGUAGGAUAGGCGAAGCGUGCGAUUGGAUUGCACGUCUAAGCAGUAAGGCUGAGUAUUAGGCAAAUCCGGUACUCGUUAAGGCUGAGCUGUGAUGGGGAGAAGACAUUGUGUCUUCGAGUCGUUGAUUUCACACUGCCGAGAAAAGCCUCUAGAUAGAAAAUAGGUGCCCGUACCGCAAACCGACACAGGUAGUCAAGAUGAGAAUUCUAAGGUGAGCGAGCGAACUCUCGUUAAGGAACUCGGCAAAAUGACCCCGUAACUUCGGGAGAAGGGGUGCUCUUUAGGGUUAACGCCCAGAAGAGCCGCAGUGAAUAGGCCCAAGCGACUGUUUAUCAAAAACACAGGUCUCUGCUAAACCGUAAGGUGAUGUAUAGGGGCUGACGCCUGCCCGGUGCUGGAAGGUUAAGAGGAGUGGUUAGCUUCUGCGAAGCUACGAAUCGAAGCCCCAGUAAACGGCGGCCGUAACUAUAACGGUCCUAAGGUAGCGAAAUUCCUUGUCGGGUAAGUUCCGACCCGCACGAAAGGCGUAACGAUUUGGGCACUGUCUCAACGAGAGACUCGGUGAAAUCAUAGUACCUGUGAAGAUGCAGGUUACCCGCGACAGGACGGAAAGACCCCGUGGAGCUUUACUGUAGCCUGAUAUUGAAAUUCGGCACAGCUUGUACAGGAUAGGUAGGAGCCUUUGAAACGUGAGCGCUAGCUUACGUGGAGGCGCUGGUGGGAUACUACCCUAGCUGUGUUGGCUUUCUAACCCGCACCACUUAUCGUGGUGGGAGACAGUGUCAGGCGGGCAGUUUGACUGGGGCGGUCGCCUCCUAAAAGGUAACGGAGGCGCUCAAAGGUUCCCUCAGAAUGGUUGGAAAUCAUUCAUAGAGUGUAAAGGCAUAAGGGAGCUUGACUGCGAGACCUACAAGUCGAGCAGGGUCGAAAGACGGACUUAGUGAUCCGGUGGUUCCGCAUGGAAGGGCCAUCGCUCAACGGAUAAAAGCUACCCCGGGGAUAACAGGCUUAUCUCCCCCAAGAGUUCACAUCGACGGGGAGGUUUGGCACCUCGAUGUCGGCUCAUCGCAUCCUGGGGCUGUAGUCGGUCCCAAGGGUUGGGCUGUUCGCCCAUUAAAGCGGUACGCGAGCUGGGUUCAGAACGUCGUGAGACAGUUCGGUCCCUAUCCGUCGUGGGCGUAGGAAAUUUGAGAGGAGCUGUCCUUAGUACGAGAGGACCGGGAUGGACAUACCUCUGGUGUACCAGUUGUCGUGCCAACGGCAUAGCUGGGUAGCUAUGUGUGGACGGGAUAAGUGCUGAAAGCAUCUAAGCAUGAAGCCCCCCUCAAGAUGAGAUUUCCC
rnacentral:rRNA from 1 species